rnacentral:tRNA from 1 species
GCGCCCGUAGCUCAGCUGGAUAGAGUGUCGGUUUCCGAAGCCGAAGGUCGUGAGUUCGAAUCUCGCCGGGCGCACCA